CAGGACUCGCAAGACUCCUUCAACCCUGUGAACUUACUACAAAGCACGUUGCUUCGGCGGGUGCUCCGGGUCUCCCGGAGCGCUGAGCCCGCCGGCAGCCUACCAAUUCUGUCUCUUUGCGUUGGCAUCUCGAGAAGAACAAAUAAGUUA
rnacentral:misc_RNA from 1 species